UUCCACAUGGAAAAAAAAAAAAAAUACAUUGGUCCAGGACAUCCAGAAACAAGAGAAAAACGAGGAGAAAUGAAGGGGAUCUGAAACAAUAAAAGACUCAUAUACCAGAUUUGAGUAGUCACCCCUUUGAAUAGAGCAAUCAGCCCCCAGGAGUCUAGCGGUCCAUCUUUAACUUCCUUGCUGACGCCUGUUUUUCCAGGGUCCAGUAACUAGCACAGUGCUUGACACAUGUGUGACUGAGGCAGGGCAGCUCUGUAGUGCCAAGCUGUCCUGCAAAAUAUUUGGACAACAGAAAGCAACAGAAGACAGCCUCCAUGUUCCCUAGAAGGAGGCUCACUGCUUCCUUCUUUACCUUUCAACCACAGCUGAUCAACUUUCAUGGUAAUAAUAGUAAAAUGACAGCCACUACCACAACACAAUGAACAGCAUCAAUGAGUGCUUACCACAAGCUAGGCAUGAAGAAGCUUCCACAUCAGCUCAAACCACAGCCAGGAUGAGUCUCUUCUGAGUCAGGAAGGGUCCUAUUGGGAGGCUGGUAUAUUCAUUACCAAAUAUUGUUGAUUCUCCUUUCAAAGUCUUAAAUUUCUCUAUUUACUUCUACUCUCACUGCCAUUGUCUAAUUCAAGCAGUCAUCUCUGCUGGAUUAAUGCAGCAGACAUUCUCAAUUCUUAACUACUUUCAUUUGGUUUCUUAGAAGGCCUGCUGUUUAAAAUAUCUAUUAAUUUUUUAAAA